GGCCGGCGGCGUUGGCCACCGUGGUGCGGCCACGUCGCGCAGUGCCCUUUCGGCGGCUGCUGAGUAAGCGACACGUCUGCUCAGAGGGUUGGUGCGGAGGUGCUUUUGCUGUCCGCUUGGGUGAACGCAGGCGUGCCCUUGAGGUGACGCAGCACCCAGUUGUGGAGGGAAGCCUUUGGAGGUAGCUCAAGGGACUGCUUGGUGCGCUCCACUGCUUAGGAAAGUCUCUAUGGUCCAGGCUGGGACCAGCAGAAACCUGUGAGCACCAGUUAAGCGCUGACCAGAUGAGGAACUGGUGGUGCCUUGCUACAGAGCCAGAGGUACUCUGAGUAUGGAUGGGCCAGUUAGGAGACUGAGCAAAGCCAUUGCUACAGAUAGCGAACAAGUGCAUCUCACUGCCAGUGACGUUGCUGUGGAGGUGCAAAAGAAGAACACCAAAUUCUAAGACUUGCUGCAGCUGCUGUGUCAUAUUAUGGAUCCUUGGCAUCUCACUCUGAAGAUGGAUUGUCAUGACACUAGUUACUGGAGGUGAAGAUAGUAAACAAGAACAUUACAGUGUGAAACAGAUGAUUUAUGAGACUUCCUAAGUCAAAGGGCCGAAUCCGUCAGUAGGUGUGUACAGGUUUUACUAACUUUGAUAUAAAAUUGGCUGAGGUUAUUUAAGAUUUUGUGGGGAUUUUGUUAAUUGUCAUUUGAAUUCCAUUAGAAUUUAUGAAUUUACUUUUGUCACUGCAGUAUUGUCUGUCUUUGGCCAGGGCUUGUAACUGACUGCAAUUCAAAAUUCAGUGACAGUACUGCUUAACAUUGUUCAGGCAACCCUGGCUACUCAUUUCUGCACCUGCACUGCAGUCUUUACUAGACUAGCACAGCAGUUUUUCGGGGUGCA